rnacentral:rRNA from 1 species
GAUUCUGGCUCAGAACGAACGCUGGCAGCGUGGAUUAGGCAUGCAAGUCGAACGUGAAGCCGUUGAACAAUCUUUCGGGUGAGUGAUUCGGUGGAAAGUGGCGGAAGGGUGAGUAACGCGUGGGUGAGCUGUCUCGAAGUUGGGGACAACCAGAUGAAAAUCUGGCUAAUACCGAAUGUGGCCUUCUGGCGCAUGUCAGGAUGACUAAAGGUGGGGAUUCUUCGGAACCUGCCGCUUUGAGAGGUGCCCGCGUGCCAUCAGCUUGUUGGUAGGGUAAUGGCCUACCAAGGCUUACGGCUAGCCGGCCUGAGAGGGUGAUCGGCCACACUGGGACUGAGACACUGCCCAGACUCCUACGGGAGGCUGCAGUCGAGGAUCAUUCGCAAUGCGCGAAAGCGUGACGAUGCGACGCUGCGUGGGGGAUGAAGGCCUUCGGGUCGUAAACUCCUGUCAUGAGGGAAUAGUAUCCCUGUAAUUAAUAGUUGCGGGGCUCGAUGGUACCUCAAGAGGAAGCCACGGCUAACUCUGUGCCAGCAGCCGCGGUAAUACAGAGGUGGCGAGCGUUGUUCGGAUUUACUGGGCGUAAAGGGUGCGUAGGUGGUUUUGUGUGUCGGAUGUGAAAUCCCAUGGCUCAACUGUGGAAUUGCAUUCGAAACUGCGGAACUAGAGUGCAGGAUGGGAGAGCGGAAUUCUUGGUGUAGCGGUGAAAUGCGUUGAUAUCAAGAAGAACACCGGUGGCGAAGGCGGCUCUCUGGAAUGCUACUGACACUGAGGCACGAAAGCUGGGGGAGCGAACAGGAUUAGAUACCCUGGUAGUCCCAGCCGUAAACGGUGCACACUUGGUGUGGGGAGAUUUAACCCUCUCCGUGCCGGAGUUAACGCGUUAAGUGUGCCGCCUGGGGAGUACGGCCGCAAGGCUAAAACUCAAAGAAAUUGACGGGGGCCCGCACAAGCGGAGGAGCAUGUGGCUUAAUUCGAUGCAACGCGAAGAACCUUACCAGGGCUUGACAUGGGGACCCUUCGGGGGUGGUAGCGAAAGUUACCUUUACCAUCACAGGUGCUGCAUGGCUGUCGUCAGUUCGUGCCGUGAGGUGUUGGGUUAAGUCCCGUAACGAACGCAACCCUUGUGGCUAGUUGCCACCGGUGGUGAUGAGCCGCCGAGCACUCUAGCCAGACUGCCCGUACAAGCGGGAGGAAGGUGGGGAUGACGUCAAGUCAGUAUGGCCCUUACGUCCUGGGCUGCACACGUGCUACAAUGGUCGGUACAGUGGGAUGCAAUACCGCGAGGUGGAGCAAAUCCCCAAAGCCGCCCUCAGUUCGGAUUGAAGUCUGCAACUCGACUUCAUGAAGUUGGAUUCGCUAGUAACGGCGCAUCAGCUACGGCGCCGUGAAUACGUUCCCGGGCCUUGUACACACCGCCCGUCACAUCAUGAAAGCCGUCUGCACCCGAAGUCGCUGAGCCAACCAUUUAUGGAGGCAGGUGCCGAAGGUGUGGGUGGUGAUUGGGAUGAAGUCGUAACAAGGUA